GGCAGGGACACCUCCCAGCAGAGCAGGAUGAUCACCUCUGCCUCUGACUUGAGCAGAUCUUGUGCCUACAGAGGCAGUGUACAUACACAGAGGCUCUGAAAGCUGCAAAUCCACAACUGCAAAAGAAUGGGCUGAGAAAGGCACCGCAGGUGGCUGAGCUUAGAAUGCCAAACACCCACGAUCUGAUG